AUCAAUUGUGUACUACAUUCGCGUAAUAAUCUAACAUAUAGACGAUUCAGCGUGAAAUUAUUGUCAACAAACCCACGUGGAGCACAAAUGAUUUACAAUGAUUGACUGGAAGUGACAGGCCUUCUCUUCAAAAUAAAUAAGGAUGGGCCAAAACUGUAAAAUCUGGACAGAAAUUAAAACGCAAGCAUAAGAACUACAUUGUGUUUUGUAUAGAUGUGUCCCUGCUACGGAGGCAGCUAACAGAAAGGGGAUAUAAUUAAGAUUGCAUUGUGGAUUUGCCCUGUGCCACCUCUAAAUGGCAGAAGAAAACUCAACUCAGCACAACCAGAAACACUUUUCUGAAGAAAAUUCUGCCAAGAGACAGUUGUGAAGGGAAUCGUGUAGAUAAUCUCCAGAAAAGAAAUCAGCACUGAUAUUGGGAUGUAUGUACCAAUAUUUUAAUACAAUCAUCAAAGACAAAUUUACCACAGGAAUAAAAAUAAAACUGUCUGGCAUUCAAGGGCCUGCCAUGGUAGAAGCUCUCCUGAAAAAAUAUUCCAUUUAUUGUGGACAUCAUGACACAGGGUUCACCUGUCAUCAGCAUUAAAGACUUGUGUGAUUUGUUCUACCUGGGCCAUAUAUGUAUUGAAUGAAAACAAUUCAUAGAACCACAAGCACAUUGUAAAUCUAUGUAAGGUCUUCUGUGUAUGUUGUAUUCCUUAUAUAAUUUGCUGUUUUAUAACAAGACUUUGUUUCAUUGGUACUAAAACUUAAUGCAUGUACACAUACAAAACCCAAAAGCAGUUGUGAUAUUUAUUGUUUUUUAUUACUCAUUAGUUCUCAUUUUUGUGUGAAAUUUUAUAAUUUUCCAUUUCUUGUUCCCCAAAACCAUAUCUUACAAAUUUUAUGUAUUGCAACUUGCAUUUCAAUUUUAACUUGUUAUACUUUACAAAAAACAAGAGGUACUGUGAGCAAUCAACUGACUAAA